rnacentral:rRNA from 1 species
AACCGGAGCUAAUACCGGAUAAUAUAUUGAACUGCAUGGUUCAAUAGUGAAAGACGGUUUUGCUGUCACUUAUAGAUGGAUCCGCGCCGCAUUAGCUAGUUGGUAAGGUAACGGCUUACCAAGGCAACGAUGCGUAGCCGACCUGAGAGGGUGAUCGGCCACAUUGGAACUGAGACACGGUCCAG